GAGCUUCUCAUGGAAAUGAUUAAUGGAACUCUGUUUCUCAUUCUUGUCCAUAUAUUUCUGCUUUGACAACUCUUGUCGUGGUAAUAGCUUGGGAUCAUGCAGUAUGUGGUUCUUACUUCCACCAUAUGUAAAACAGCGAGCAAUUCCAAUGGCACCAAUCGCAUCAAGACGGUCAGCAUCUUGCACAACCCCAAACUCCAAU
rnacentral:misc_RNA from 1 species